UACGUAGGGGGCAAGCGUUGUCCGGAUUCAUUGGGCGUAAAGAGCGUGUAGGCGGCCAGGUAGGUCGGUUGUGAAAACUGGAGGCUCAACCUUCAGAGGUCGACCGAAACCAUCUGGCUAGAGUCCGGGAGAGGAGAGUGGAAUUCCUGGUGUAGCGGUGAAAUGCGCAGAUAUCAGGAAGAACACCCGUGGCGAAAGCGGCUCUCUGGUCCGAUACUGACGCUGAGGUGCGAAAGCGUGGGGAGCAAACAGG
rnacentral:rRNA from 1 species